AGCCCCAGACCAGGGACUCCCAGCUGUCCCACUCAGGGAUCGCACUCCACACAGACACUCGCCAUGGAGACCGCUCUGAGAUGGCUUCUCCUGGUGGCUGUGCUCCAAGGUGUCCAGUGUCAGGAGCUGGUGGAGUCCGGCGGAGGCUUGGUCAAGCCUGGGGCGACACUGACACUCACCUGCAAAGUCUCUGGAUUCAGCCUCAGUAGCAAUGCAAUGGGCUGGGUUCGCCAGGCUCCUGGCAAGGGCCCCGAGUGGCUCGCAGUAAUUAGCAGUAGUGGUAACACAUACUACGCGUCCUCCGUGAAGGGCCGAUUCACCAUCUCCAGCAGCAGCGCCACCAGCACGGUGUCCCUGCAAAUGACCGCUCUGACAGCCCAGGACACGGCCAUCUAUUACUGUGCCAGAGACGGAUAUUAUAGUAGUUGUAGUAGUUAUGGCUACGAUUACUUCAAUCUCUGGGGCCCAGGCACCCUGGUCACCGUCUCCUCAGUAGACGCCUCAUCCCCGACGCUCUUCCCCCUCAUCUCCUGUGAGGGUGCUUUGUCCGAUGGGAACCAGGUGGCCAUGGGCUGCCUGGCACGGGACAUCCUGCCUGGUUCUGUCACCUUCUCCUGGAACUACAAGAACAACUCCGAGGUCAGCAGCAGGAUUGUGCAGACCUUCCCAGUGGUGCAGACAGGGAAUAAGUACAUGGCCACAUCCCAAGUGCUGGUGCCUUCCAAGGACGUCUACGAAGGCAGAGACGACUAUCUGGAGUGCAGAGUACUGCAGGGCAAAAGCAACAAAAAUCUGCGUGUGCCCUUUCCCAUAACCAUAGAGUUGCACCCCAACGUGAAUGUGUUCAUCCCGCCUCGAGACUCCUUCUCUGGCUCCAGCCCACGCAAGUCUCGGCUCAUCUGCCAGGCCACAGGAUUCAGCCCCAGACAGGUCAGCGUGUCCUGGCUGCGUGAUGGGCAGCAGGUAGAGUCUGGCUUUACCACAAAACCAGUGGAAGCUGAGGCCAGAGAGUCUGGGCCCACAACCUUCAGUGUCAACAGCAUGCUGACCGUCACCGAGACUGAGUGGCUGGGCCAGAACUUGUACACCUGCCGUGUGAACCACAGGGGCAUUGACUUCGAUAAGAACGUGUCCCUGUCCUCUGAGUGCAGCACCGGUGAGCCCACAACCAUCCAGGUCUUCCCUAUCGCCCCUUCAUUUGCCAGCGUCUUUGUCAGCAAGUCAGCCGAGCUGACCUGCCUGGUCACAGACCUGGCCAACUAUGACAGCCUCAACAUCUCCUGGGCCCGCCAGAAUGGCGAGGCCCUGGACACCCGGAUCCAGAUAUCUGAGAGCUACCCCAAUGCCACCUUCAGCGCCACGGGCAAGGCCAGCGUGUGCGAGGAGCAGUGGCGCUCUGGGGAGCAGUUCACAUGCACCGUGACCCACGCAGACCUGCCCUUUCCACUGAAACACAGCAUCUCCAGGCCCAAGGAGGUGGCCAAUCACCGGCCCGAGGUGUACAUGCUACCACCAGCCCGCGAUCAGCUGCAACUACGAGAGUGGGCCACUGUCACCUGCCUGGUGAAGGGCUUCUCACCUGCAGACGUGUUCGUGCAGUGGCUGCAGCGGGGGCAGCCCCUGUCCUCAGACAAGUACGUGACCAGUGCCCCAAUGCCCGAGCCCCAGGCCCCAGGCCUGUACUUCACCCACAGCGUCUUGACCGUGACUGAGGAAGACUGGAACUCCGGGGAGACAUUCACCUGCGUUGUGGCUCACGAGGCUCUGCCGAACAUGGUGACCGAGAGGACCGUGGACAAGUCCACUGGAGGGGAGGUGGGUGCCGAGGAGGAGGGCUUUGAGAACUUGUGGACCACUGCCUCUACCUUCAUCGUCCUGUUCCUACUGAGCCUCUUCUACAGCACCACAGUCACCCUGUUCAAGGUGAAGUGACCUGAGAAGGAAGCCGAAGCUAGGAGACAGGCCGCUGUCGCCCUGCUUGUGUGGCCUGCGUCUGAGACCUGCGUCUUCCCCACGUCGCCGGCCAGCUUCUCUGCUAAAGCACAGGCCUCAACCAGUCCAGUCAACAGUCCUCCACCCUGGGGAGCAGCAGCCAGGAUGUGCCCCAGGCACUGUACGCUGUGUGUGCAGCUGUUAGUAACCCCCAAAAUAAACAAGAGCCUCUCGGCUUGCGAAA